rnacentral:lncRNA from 1 species
CGCUGGAAGUUGCUGUUGUGUAUUGUGAGCGCGUGCUCGCUGGUGAAGCUGCUGCUGCUUGUGAGUACUCAAUGGUGGAGCUGUCACUGCUGUGUGAGGCGCAUGUAUGUUGCUUUUUGUAUGAUGCUACUGGUUGCUGUAUAUUUAGAUAGAUAACAGACAUAUUGCACUUAAUUUGUCUCUGAACGCAACCUGUAAUUACAUCUCUUUCUUUUUCUGAACCACUCUUUCUCUCUUACAUAUGCAGUUAUGCACCUUCUCACAUUUGAAUGGUGACAAUUUGUACUAGGAUGGGAGGUAUUGGAUCUGAGUAUGUGAAGGAGGAGCAAGAUGGAAUUGACAAGGCAAGAAUUGUUUUCCUUUUAAUUCGGAUUCAUGUUGCCUGACUGAUGAAGAGUGAACUUUGUAUGAGACUGACGAAAGGGUUGUUUCCGCGCCUCACGAAGCAAGGAAAUUUUUGACACCGUCCCAGUAUCAUGAGAAUUUAAGUGACUAAAUUAGGACAGUCGUAGGGUUUCAUCUUAAUUAAAAAUAAGAGCAUUGUAGCACUCCUUUAUAGAUGUGACUUUUGUGCUAACAGUAGACGGCUGUAUCAAUUUUCUGUUUUUCAGCCAUGCAAGCAAAUCAGUUAACUAUAAUUAUAGUUUGCAGCAACAAAGAAGGUGAAUUAGAUCUGCUCUCACAAUGGAAUCAGUAGAAAUAACUCCCCGUAGUCAUAUAUGAGGUAAGCAUAAGAUAUUGUUGAUUUUUUUAUUGGGUUCGAUUGAUUUAUUAAUUUUAAUGCCGGGGCUUGGUCAAUCUAUCUUUUUGAUUGCUAUUUUUACUCACAGAUUGCUCUACCAGAUUCAGAACUAAUUUGUUUACUCAUAAGAAUUUGGGGCUAUUCAUAUUGUUUCUGGUAGUGUUGCAUGCUGGAUCUAAAUUCUCUUUUAUCCAUGUAUGGAGUGCAGUUUUUAUUUUGCACAGACCUGAUAUUCAUAUGAUUUUUUCAGAGCUGUGUACAAUCCAAGCAAGCAAAAUUGAUUAGUAAGGAGACAUGCACAUGUUUGUUAUAAGUUAUAACAUGCCUAGAAACAAAGGGAGACCAUGGAUAAAUAUGUAAAUCUGGUAACUAAAUACUCUGUUGUGUGCCGAGAUUUAAAUCCCAUGGGCGCACUUAUGAUCCCACCUAAAAAGUGAAUUUCAAAUAUUCAUAUUUCUUAUGGAUGUCAAAUAAAUAAAAAUGAAGUUCCCAUUUUAGGGUUUAAAAAAUUGCAAUCAAGAAUCAAUAUAUUGUAGCAUGCAUAGAUUCCAAGAUAUAAUCAAGUCUAACACAUUAUGUAUGCGUACAACAUGUCAAAACACAUGUACAUGCAUAUCUCUAUUUUUUAGAUGAACGUGCAUGUACCAACCUUUCCUUUCUAUCCAUUCAUAAUUCAUAUCCAUACAUGCCUGAACCUUAGCACGUACAAGCAGUCAACUGAACUUUUUUUUUUCAUGCACAUACUCAUCAUCACACAAGUACUGAUCUUAUGGUUACCGGUCCGUUCAACGUAUGUGUACACAAACACUAUUAUCCAUGAGUUUACAUUGAUAUUUUAGGUAACCAUUACUUGAAUAUCCAAUCUACUACUUGCUAUCUCAAGCAUGUAAUUUAAGCUUAGCUUCUGUUCCAAAUUUUAAAUCGUAAUUAGAUGUUUUAUUUAGAGCUAGCGUGCGCUGCAUUGAUGUACGGUGCACAUAGUUCUUGAUAAUAAAUCGACCAGAUUUUCUAUUAACAAAUCAGGAAAUCGUUGAUGCCUUAUAUACUUGAUCAGGUGUGCUUUCAGUAAGUUCUGGAGCAAAGAGCAAGAUGCAAGUGUGAUUCGGAAUCUCAUGCUUGGUUUCUCCUACUCUUUUCUGCAGUGCACUUCCAAAUUUAUCUCAUUCCCUAGAGUUAUUGUAGGUAAUCUCUCAUUCCCUGGAGUUACUUUAGGUAAUGAUUCUAAGAAAUCUUGCAGGUAACCAUGCUCUUACUUCAGCAAUCUUAAGUUAUUUUAGUGUCUUCUUUAUAACGGUAAAUGUUUAAACCUAAAGAUUUAACUAUUUCCAGGACACGCUUCUAUCUACUAAUCAUAUUAUUUUCAUCUGCUAGGUAAUCAAACCGGGUUACAUUUGCUGGACUUAAACAAGGAUUUUUUUAAGAGAGAUAUAUAAUACAACAAAAAUUCUUGUUUCGUCUUUGUAUAUGUGUAUGUUUGUAAAACCAUUUAUAUGCCUGCUACUCUUACAUGAAAAGUUCAUAUUUCUUACUUUUGUGACACAAUGGGUUGACAUAUUUAUACAAGUGUAUGUAAAGACAUGUAUGUUGUUGCAGUACUAACCUACUUAUUAUUUAUUUGUUAUCAGUGCAUAUACCAUGUUUUUCAUUUGGUCCCUUCAUUGCAACCUUAGUGGUAUCUUUGAGUGAUCAAUAAACUGGGUAUGAUAUUGAGUUAUUGACAAUACAAUUAUUCAGGAAACUAUCAGCCAU